GAUGAACGCUGGCGGCGUGCCUAAUACAUGCAAGUCGAGCGAAUGAUGAGGAGCUUGCUCCUCUGAUUUAGCGGCGGACGGGUGAGUAACACGUGGGUAAUCUGCCUGUAAGACGGGGAUAACUCCGGGAAACCGGGGCUAAUACCGGAUAAUAAGAAGAAACGCAUGUUUCUUUUUUGAAAGGCGGUUUCGGCUGACACUUACAGAUGAGCCCGCGGCGCAUUAGCUAGUGGGUGAGGUAACGGCUCACCAAGGCGCCGAUGGGUAGCCGACCUGAGAGGGGGAGCGGCCACACUGGGACUGAGACACGGCCCAGACUCCUACGGGAGGCAGUGGUAGGGAAUCUUCGGCAAUGGGCGAAAGCCUGACCGAGCAACGCCGCGUGAGCGAUGAGGGCCUUCGGGUCGUAAAGCUCUGUUGUUAGAGAAGAACAAGUACGAGAGUAACUGCUCGUACCUUGACGGUACCUAACCAGAAAGCCACGGCUAACUACGUGCCAGCCGCCGCCGUAAAAC
rnacentral:rRNA from 1 species